rnacentral:rRNA from 1 species
UACGUAGGGGGCAAGCGUUGUCCGGAAUCAUUGGGCGUAAAGAGCGUGUAGGCGGUCCGGUAAGUCGGCUGUGAAAGUCCAGGGCUCAACCCUGGGAUGCCGGUCGAUACUGCCGGACUAGAGUUCGGAAGAGGCGAGUGGAAUUCCCGGUGUAGCGGUGAAAUGACGCAGAUAGUCGGGAGGAACACCUAUGGCGAAGGCAGCUCGCUGGGACGUUACUGACGCUGGAGACGGCGAAAGCGUGGGGAGCAAACAGG